ensembl:snRNA
GUGUUGUAUGAACUGAGAGGUUAGCACUCCCCUUUACAAGGAUGGAAGAGACUCCCGGGCCUAACAACACACACGUAUGGUUAUGGCACUGCCACCUACUACAAGGCAUCUAACCAUCAUUUUUC